GGGCCGAUAGUUCAACUGGAUAGAAUACCUGAUUACGAAUCAGGGGGUUACAGGUUCAACUCCUGUUCGGCCCACCA
rnacentral:tRNA from 1 species